rnacentral:rRNA from 1 species
GAUGAACGCUGGCGGCGUGCCUAAUACAUGCAAGUCGAGCGAACGGACGAGAAGCUUGCUUCUCUGAUGUUAGCGGCGGACGGGUGAGUAACACGUGGAUAACCUACCUAUAAGACUGGGGUAACUUCGGGAAACCGGAGCUAAUACCGGAUGAUAUUUUGAACCGCAUGGUUCAAAAGUGAAAGACGGUCUUGCUGUCACUUAUAGAUGGAUCCGCGCUGCAUUAGCUAGUUGGUAAGGUAACGGCUUACCAAGGCAACGAUGCAUAGCCGACCUGAGAGGGUGAUCGGACACACUGGAACUGAGACACGGUCCAGACUCCUACGGGAGUCAGCAGUAGGGAAUCUUCCGCAAUGGGCGAAAGCCUGACGGAGCAACGCCGCGUGAGUGAUGAAGGUCUUCGGAUCGUAAAACUCUGUUAUUAGGGAAGAACAUAUGUGUAAGUAACUGUGCACAUCUUGACGGUACCUAAUCAGAAAGCCACGGCUAACUACGUG